AUUGAACGCUGGCGGCAUGCCUUACACAUGCAAGUCGAACGGUAACAGGUCUUCGGAUGCUGACGAGUGGCGAACGGGUGAGUAAUACAUCGGAACGUGCCUAGUAGUGGGGGAUAACUACUCGAAAGAGUGGCUAAUACCGCAUGAGAUCUACGGAUGAAAGCAGGGGAUCGCAAGACCUUGUGCUACUAGAGCGGCCGAUGGCAGAUUAGGUAGUUGGUGGGAUAAAAGCUUACCAAGCCGACGAUCUGUAGCUGGUCUGAGAGGACGAUCAGCCACACUGGGACUGCGACACGGCCCAGACUCCUACGGGAGGCAGCAGUGGGGAAUUUUGGACAAUGGGCGAAAGCCUGAUCCAGCAAUGCCGCGUGCAGGAUGAAGGCCUUCGGGUUGUAAACUGCUUUUGUACGGAACGAAAAGCCCCGGGUUAAUACCCUGGGGUCAUGACGGUACCGUAAGAAUAAGCAUCGGCUAACUACGUGCCAGCCGCCACAGUAA
rnacentral:rRNA from 1 species